AUACUUACCUGGAAGGAGAGAUACCAUGGUCAUAUAGGUGGGUUUCCUAGAACGAGGCUUACCUAUUGCACUCCAGGUGUGCUGACCCCUGUGAUUUUUCUGGGGAGGUCUCAGCAGGU
rnacentral:snRNA from 1 species